CGGGGGAGGCGGGAUCCUGGGCUGUGUCCCGGCGCCCUGUGCCCUGUGCCCUGCGCUGUUGGAUUCGCGCUCCCGGCCUUGCAGCCCCCU
rnacentral:pre_miRNA from 1 species